AGAUUGGAAUUCCUGGUGUAGCGGUGGAAUGCGCAGAUAUCAGGAGGAACACCGAUGGCGAAGGCAGAUCUCUGGGCCGUAACUGACGCUGAGGAGCGAAAGGGUGGGGAGCAAACAGGCUUAGAUACCCUGGUAGUCCACCCCGUAAACGUUGGGAACUAGUUGUGGGGUCCUUUCCACGGAUUCCGUGACGCAGCUAACGCAUUAAGUUCCCCGCCUGGGGAGUACGGCCGCAAGGCUAAAACUCAAAGGAAUUGACGGGGACCCGCACAAGCGGCGGAGCAUGCGGAUUAAUUCGAUGCAACGCGAAGAACCUUACCAAGGCUUGACAUACACGAGAACGGGCCAGAAAUGGUCAACUCUUUGGACACUCGUGAACAGGUGGUGCAUGGUUGUCGUCAGCUCGUGUCGUGAGAUGUUGGGUUAAGUCCCGCAACGAGCGCAACCCUCGUUCUAUGUUGCCAGCACGUAAUGGUGGGAACUCAUGGGAUACUGCCGGGGUCAACUCGGAGGAAGGUGGGGAUGACGUCAAAUCAUCAUGCCCCUUAUGUCUUGGGCUUCACGCAUGCUACAAUGGCCGGUACAAUGGGCUGCGAUACCGUAAGGUGGAGCGAAUCCCAAAAAGCCGGUCCCAGUUCGGAUUGAGGUCUGCAACUCGACCUCAUGAAGUCGGAGUCGCUAGUAAUCGCAGAUCAGCAACGCUGCGGUGAAUACGUUCCCGGGUCUUGUACACACCGCCCGUCAAGUCAUGAAAGUCGGUAACACCUGAAGCCGGUGGCCUAACCCCUU
rnacentral:rRNA from 1 species